AAUUUAUUAGAGAGGGCGGCCAGUCUAAAAAUAGGGAAGCCCCGAACAACAGCGCUAGAAUUAAUUGUUGAGACUCUGAGGGAACGGGAGGAGACUCCAGAGAUCCAAAGUUUCCUCUGUUGUCUUGUUUUCGUGCGAGAGGUACGGCAGCAUUAGCCCGGUCUAGUUGUCAGCUGCUUUUGUUUUGCGGACUAUUUUUGCUUGUCUGCUGCUGUCAAACAGAACUGGAUCUCAAUCACACGCCGUCUUACCACUCGUCAACGCCACUGCCAGCUGUCUCGUCUGACAGUACGGGACGAUCUAUCGCAAGUUCUCCUCGCGGCUUGCCGUGAUGGAGGGCGACGUUUGUGAAGAUGUACGGAGGGCUGAGACGAACAUUUGAAGGCGGUUAAGGAAGGCGGCAGAUGGAGGAGCGAGGACAGUCUAAGGAAACAUGCGUACCUGACAGCCAGGGGAAUCUGGAGGGACCCGGCAUCGCAGAUGACAACAUAUCCACAACAGUCGCUCUCACCACCCCCACUCUCAUUUCCACCUACUUCCCCUCCGUUUCCAGUGCUCCCCUCGGCUCCUCUUUUCUCCUUUAUGGCUCCCCUCCCCCGCCUCAGAUAACUCGUCUCUGGCUGUAUAUAAGCUCUCCAGAAACCCUCCAUCAGCGCCGUUAGGCCUCGCUGAUUAAAGGCAGCGUUAUUAGCCGGCGCUAACCUGCCCUGUCACUGUUUAAAAACGUUGUUUAUUCGACGAGGGAUGUAUAUAGACAUUGCUGACGGGCUUCGGUGUUUGGCAGACACUCUGUGCCAAAUCAUAUGCAUGACUCCUCUUGCCGUGCCGCUUCAUGUGGCUGCCAAGUGAGGUUUCACCGAGGCUUUUUCCGAGGGAAUCGGACCACAAUUCAAGCCCCCCACCGACCGAAUGCACAUUAAAAAGACCUUGUUCUACCUCCGCGGCCCCCCUUUCACCGCUCCCCCCCCCCCCAAACCUGUACCAGCCCUGUGCCCUUCCACUCUUCUCCCACCCCCCACGCCUUAAGUCUCCAUACCACACUCAUUAUUAAUGAUCUGAGGGACAGCUUUCAUUUGAUCUAUUAGUUAGGAUAGGACAGCGGCUGCUGCGCUGCUGCAUCCCCGCUGGAUCUUUAAUUAUUUCAUGGAGGGCUUUCCUCCACACCGCAGCUCCUUCUCUGUUGUGCAGAUGAAAUAUUGAAGUUGAGGAGUGUAGUGCAAAGUGGCCUCAUACGGGGUGAGUUUUCCGUGUGUGCACAUGCGCUCGCUCUGCCUGCCCCUCUCGGUCCCCUGCUUCUCUACUGUAUUUGCACAUAUGCAGCGCCUUUGGCUCCCAAAAGGGCGCAUCCCCCUGUUCAGAUGCAAGAAAAUUGGGAUGUGCAAAAAUGCCACGUUCAUAAAUCAAUUCAAAACUUUUUUUUUCAUUUUUAAUGUGAAGUAUCUAGUAAAAUAAAAUGGAAAAACAAACAUUUCUGUUGGAUGGAGGGGUAUAAAAGCUUCUGUUAUCUGCUGAUUGUUCUGAAUACACUGAAAUAAAGACCAGGAGUCCA